rnacentral:misc_RNA from 1 species
GGAAGUAAAAGUCGUAACAAGAUUUCCGUAGGUGAACCUGCGGAAGGGUCAUUAACGUAUCUCUGACGGCGAGGGUGCGCCCCGCUCCGGACCGAAAGGCCGUGCAGCGGGCGAGCCCGAGCCGCUCAACCUUUGCAAACCCACUGUGCACUUUUGUCGGCAAAGGGCCCUCAGGGCCCCGAGCCGGACCACAAACACUACUUUACUGAACGAUCUGUGGCCGCUGUGCCGCCUAAACUUUAACAACUUUCAACAACGGAUCUCCUGGCUCUCGCAUCGAUGGAACGCAGC